GGGCCCGCACAAGCGGUGGAGUAUGUGGUUUAAUUCGAUGCAACGCGAAGAACCUUACCAGGGUUUGACAUCCUGCGAAUCUCUUGGAAACAGGAGAGUGCCUUCGGGAACGCAGUGACAGGUGGUGCAUGGCUGUCGUCAGCUCGUGUCGUGAGAUGUUGGGUUAAGUCCCGCAACGAGCGCAACCCUCAUCUUUAGUUGCCAACAGUUAGGCUGGGCACUCUAGAGAAACUGCCUGGGAUGACCAGGAGGAAGGCGAGGAUGACGUCAAGUCCUCAUGGCCCUUAUGGGCUGGGCUACACACGUGCUACAAUGGCGGUGACAAAGGGAAGCAAUAGGGUAACCUGGAGCAAAUCCCAAAAAGCCGUCUCAGUUCGGAUUGUUCUCUGCAACUCGAGAGCAUGAAGUUGGAAUCGCUAGUAAUCG
rnacentral:rRNA from 1 species